AAGAAAUGAAGACAUGAGCAUGUACAGUUAUGUGGUAAAGUUUAAUACGCCAACACAGGAAUCGAUGAGGAUCGAAGAAAGCCUCUAGUGGACACAGGAGGAAUUGCAGCUUUUGCACUCUUUCUCUGUUGGUGUUUCUGGUCAGUGAAGGUCCAAAAAUAUGCACGAUCAGAGUUUCUCAUGGUUUUGAUUAAAUAAAUAUGAACAGAAAAGUCUCUGAAAAACAAAGUUAAAGAAUCAUCACAUCAGUCCGAUCAGACGUCUCCUCUCCUCUCUGCAGGAUCAGCGUUAAAGCUCACUGUGGUUCAGGUCUGGAAGGACUUGUAACCCUCCUCAUCCUGCACCUGCUCGCUCAUUAAAGCUGCAGCCGCUGUGUUUGUAUCUCAGCCUACGUCUCAGCCUCUCUGCAGAGACCACCGGCUCUUUCAUUACGCCAACACCGAGCUCUGCUGGACUCGGCGGUUCCUUUAAAGUGUCCCGCCCUCCAGAAAACCCCCCGAGUCCAACAUCUACCCAUGAAAAAUAUGAAAGAAGAGAGAAAGGCCGAGUCAGAGCGCUCUCAUGUGUGAUCAGAGUGGAGUUUGUUGAAUGUACAGCCCACUGACUGACCUCUCGCCUCCACAUAUAAACUGUGUGAUAGAGCCGAGGCUGUAGGCCAGAUUUGACCCUCAGUGAAGUCCAUGAUGAGCUCCAGAGGCUCCUUCAGAGACGUUCUGCAUAUUUAAAAGACUUUUUUACAGUGUUUCAGGUUUCCUGAGCGGAGAGCGGACUGAGAUCUGUUCAAGACUUUGAUUCUGUAGCAGCUGAACAGGCCGAAAGGAACCUGCAAAAACUAAGAUCAUCUGUAGAGGAGGACGAGUUCAUCAGAGAGGACGUUUUAGUGAGACAGUCUACCUGCAGACCUCCACUGAGAGGACUGUUUGAGGCCUUUCAAA